AUUGAACGCUGGCGGCAUGCUUUACACAUGCAAGUCGAACGGGCUUGGGGGCUUGCUCCCAAGUUAGUGGCGAACGGGUGAGUAAUACAUCGGAACGUACCGUGUAGUGGGGGGUAACGUAGCGAAAGUUACGCUAAUACCGCAUACAAUCUACGGAUGAAAGCAGGGGACCUUCGGGCCUUGUGCUAUACGAGCGGCCGAUGUCUGAUUAGCUAGUUGGUGAGGUAAAGGCUCACCAAGGCGACGAUCAGUAGCGGGUCUGAGAGGAUGAUCCGCCACACUGGGACUGAGACACGGCCCAGACUCCUACGGGAGGCAGCAGUGGGGAAUUUUGGACAAUGGGCGAAAGCCUGAUCCAGCCAUGCCGCGUGUCUGAAGAAGGCCUCGGUUGUAA
rnacentral:rRNA from 1 species